rnacentral:rRNA from 1 species
UACGUAGGGUGCGAGCGUUGUCCGGAAUUACUGGGCGUAAAGGGCUCGUAGGUGGCCAACUAAGUCAGACGUGAAAUCCCUCAGCUUAACUGGGGAACUGCGUCUGAUACUGGAUGGCUUGAGUUCGGGAGAGGGAUGCGGAAUUCCAGGUGUAGCGGUGAAAUGCGUAGAUAUCUGGAGGAACACCGGUGGCGAAGGCGGCAUCCUGGACCGACACUGACGCUGAGGAGCGAAAGCCAGGGGAGCAAACGGG